rnacentral:rRNA from 2 species
AAGGGUCGUUGGAGACUACAACGUUGAUAGGUUGGGUGUGUAAGGACUGCGAGGUCUUGAGCUAACCAAUACUAAUUACCCGUGAGGCUUAACCAUACAACACCCAAGUGGUUUUAAG